rnacentral:rRNA from 1 species
AUAGCGUAUAUUAAAGUUGUUGCAGUUAAAAAGCUCGUAGUUGAACUUCAGACCUGGCCGGACGGUCUGCCUAACGGUAUGUACUGUCUGGCUGGGCCUUACCUCUUGGUGAGCCGGCAUGCCCUUCACUGGGUGUGUUGGGGAACCAGGACUUUUACCUUGAGAAAAUUAGAGUGUUCAAAGCAGGCUUAUGCUCGAAUACAUUAGCAUGGAAUAAUAAAAUAGGACGUGCGGUUCUAUUUUGUUGGUUUCUAGAGUCGCCGUAAUGAUUAAUAGGGAUAGUUGGGGGCAUUAGUAUUCAGUUGCUAGAGGUGAAAUUCUUGGAUUUACUGAAGACUAAAUACUG